UACGAAGGGGGCUAGCGUUGCUCGGAAUCACUGGGCGUAAAGGGUGCGUAGGCGGGUCUUUAAGUCAGGGGUGAAAUCCUGGAGCUCAACUCCAGAACUGCCUUUGAUACUGAGGAUCUUGAGUUCGGGAGAGGUGAGUGGAACUGCGAGUGUAGAGGUGAAAUUCGUAGAUAUUCGCAAGAACACCAGUGGCGAAGGCGGCUCACUGGCCCGGUACUGACGCUGAGACGCGAAAGCGUGGGGAGCAAACAGG
rnacentral:rRNA from 1 species